GCCACACAUGUUAAGGACCCUCAGCCCAGGGAGGUGGCUUUAAUCUUGGUUCUCCAGUGUCAGGAAGAGAUCCUUCAGUCAUGGGGUAAUCAGGAAGUCUCCUAGGAUAAGGUUAUUAUAUUCAAGUCCUGCCAAAAAAUGUAAGAAAAGAAGCUCCUAUUUGAGUGGACCAAAAAGAACAAUUAUACCUCCUAAAAAUAAAAUGAACCUAAGCUAAGAAAAUGAAAAGGUUUCUAAAGAAGGUCAGUACUUCUUUUUUGGUCUCCUUUCAUCACUGUGUGAUUUACUUUAAUAGUACCCUGUCAAACUAGAUGACUCAGUGGCCUCAUCACAGCUUACAGAGCAUUUCAUCUGUGGUCAUUCAUCCUGCCUAUGAAGAAAUUGACAUGUAGUCACUACAGAGCAACACUGCUCACCAAUGGUUGUUCACCACCAUACCCUCCUGAUCCUUGCCUAAUCAAACAGAGAGAUGCUAUCCUGCUUUUACCUACACAGAAAAAGAAAGAAGAUAAAACAAUGUUAGGGGGUUGUGGCUCAUUGAUGGUCAGAUAUGAAAAGCUGCUUCAAAUGCUGUCCCAUCAGUUCCUAAAACUGCAACAUGAAAAUGCAUCAUCAUGACUACCCUUUACCUAUCUCCCAAGCGUGAAAUUGUUUUCCCCAGUAAAAGUUUAAGGAAAUGAA
rnacentral:lncRNA from 1 species